GACGAACGCUGGCGGCGUGCUUAACACAUGCAAGUCGAGCGAUGAAGUUCCUUCGGGAAUGGAUUAGCGGCGGACGGGUGAGUAACACGUGGGUAACCUGCCUCAUAGAGGGGAAUAGCCCUUCGAAAGGAAGAUUAAUACCGCAUAAGAUUGUAGUUUCGCAUGAGACAGCAAUUAAAGGAGUAAUCCGCUAUGAGAUGGACCCGCGUCGCAUUAGCUAGUUGGUGAGGUAACGGCUCACCAAGGCGACGAUGCGUAGCCGACCUGAGAGGGUGAUCGGGCACAUUGGGACUGAGACACGGCCCAGACUCCUACGGGAGGCAGCAGUGGGGAAUAUUGCACAAUGGGGGAAACCCUGAUGCAGCAACGCCGCGUGAGUGAUGACGGUCUUCGGAUUGUAAAACUCUGUCUUCAGGGACGAUAAUGACGGUACCUGAGGAGGAAGCCACGGCUAACUACGUGCCAGCCGCCGCCGUAA
rnacentral:rRNA from 1 species